rnacentral:rRNA from 1 species
UACGUAGGGGGCAAGCGUUGUCCGGAAUCAUUGGGCGUAAAGAGCGCGUAGGCGGCCCGGUAAGUCCGCUGUGAAAGUCAAAGGCUUAACCUUUGAAUGUCAGCGGAUACUGCCGGGCUAGAGUCCGGAAGAGGCGAGUGGAAUUCCCUGGUGUAGCGGUGGAAUGCGCAGAUAUCAGGAGGAACACCAACGGCGAAGGCAGCUCGCUGGGACGGUACUGACGCUGAGGCGCGAAAGCGUGGGGAGCAAACAGG